rnacentral:rRNA from 1 species
CCUACGGGAGGCAGCAGUGGGGAAUAUUGCACAAUGGGCGAAAGCCUGAUGCAGCGACGCCGCGUGAGGGAUGACGGCCUUCGGGUUGUAAACCUCUUUCAGCAGGGAAGAAGCGAAAGUGACGGUACCUGCAGAAGAAGCGCCGGCUAACUACGUGCCAGCAGCCGCGGUAAUACGUAGGGCGCAAGCGUUGUCCGGAAUUAUUGGGCGUAAAGAGCUCGUAGGCGGCUUGUCACGUCGGUUGUGAAAGCCCGGGGCUUAACCCCGGGUCUGCAGUCGAUACGGGCAGGCUAGAGUGUGGUAGGGGAGAUCGGAAUUCCUGGUGUAGCGGUGAAAUGCGCAGAUAUCAGGAGGAACACCGGUGGCGAAGGCGGAUCUCUGGGCCAUUACUGACGCUGAGGAGCGAAAGCGUGGGGAGCGAACAGGAUUAGAUACCCUGGUAGUCCACGCCGUAAACGGUGGGAACUAGGUGUUGGCGACAUUCCACGUCGUCGGUGCCGCAGCUACGACAUACGUUCCGUCCGUCGGGUAGGUACGGCCGCGACGACGUAAACGUUAAAGGUAAAGUUAGACGGCGUGAGACGUGCCGACGACGACGACGAGGGAGUAGG